rnacentral:rRNA from 1 species
AACGAACGCUGGCGGCAUGCCUAAUACAUGCAAGUCGAACGAUCUCUUCGGAGAUAGUGGCGCACGGGUGCGUAACGCGUGGGAACCUGCCCUUGGGUUCGGAAUAACGUCGGGAAACUGACGCUAAUACCGGAUGAUGACGUAAGUCCAAAGAUUUAUCGCCCAGGGAUGAGCCCGCGUAGGAUUAGCUAGUUGGUGGGGUAAAGGCCUACCAAGGCGACGAUCCUUAGCUGGUCUGAGAGGAUGAUCAGCCACACUGGGACUGAGACACGGCCCAGACUCCUACGGGAGGCAGCAGUUGGGAAUAUUGGACAAUGGGGGAAACCCUGAUCCAGCCAUGCCGCGUGUGUGAUGAAGGCCUUAGGGUUGUAAAGCACUUUCGGCUGUGAAGAUAAUGACAGUAGCAGAAGAAGAAGCUCCGGCUAAAUUCGUGCCAGCCGCCGCAGUAA